AAACUUUCAACAACGGAUCUCUUGGUUCCCGCAUCGAUGAAGAACGCAGCGAAACGCGAUAGUUAAUGUGAAUUGCAGAAUUCAGUGAAUCAUCGAGUCUUUGAACGCAUAUUGCGCCCAUUGGUAUUCCAUUGGGCAUGUCUGUUUGAGCGUCAUU
rnacentral:rRNA from 2 species